GGGUUGUGAGGUUAAGCGACUAAGCGUACACGGUGGAUGCCCUGGCAGUCAGAGGCGAUGAAGGGCGUGCUAAUCUGCGAUAAGCGCCGGUAAGGUGAUAUGAACCGUUAUAACCGGCGAUACCCGAAUGGGGAAACCCAGUGUGACUCGUCACACUAUCAUUAACUGAAUCCAUAGGUUAAUGAGGCGAACCGGGGGAACUGAAACAUCUAAGUACCCCGAGGAAAAGAAAUCAACCGAGAUUCCCCCAGUAGCGGCGAGCGAACGGGGAGGAGCCCAGAGCCUGAAUCAGCAUGUGUGUUAGUGGAAGCGUCUGGAAAGGCGCGCGAUACAGGGUGACAGCCCCGUACACAAAAGCGCAUGUGCUGUGAGCUCGAUGAGUAGGGCGGGACACGUGGUAUCCUGUCUGAAUAUGGGGGGACCAUCCUCCAAGGCUAAAUACUCCUGACUGACCGAUAGUGAACCAGUACCGUGAGGGAAAGGCGAAAAGAACCCCGGCGAGGGGAGUGAAAAAGAACCUGAAACCGUGUACGUACAAGCAGUGGGAGCACAGGUUUACCUGUGUGACUGCGUACCUUUUGUAUAAUGGGUCAGCGACUUAUAUUCUGUAGCAAGGUUAACCGAAUAGGGGAGCCGGAGGGAAACCGAGUCUUAAUUGGGCGUUAAGUUGCAGGGUAUAGACCCGAAACCCGGUGAUCUAGCCAUGGGCAGGUUGAAGGUUGGGUAACACUAACUGGAGGACCGAACCGACUAAUGUUGAAAAAUUAGCGGAUGACCUGUGGCUGGGGGUGAAAGGCCAAUCAAACCGGGAGAUAGCUGGUUCUCCCCGAAAGCUAUUUAGGUAGCGCCUCGUGAAUUCAUCUCCGGGGGUAGAGCACUGUUUCGGCUAGGGGGCCAUCCCGGCUUACCAACCCGAUGCAAACUGCGAAUACCGGAGAAUGUUAUCACGGGAGACACACGGCGGGUGCUAACGUCCGUCGUGAAGAGGGAAACAACCCAGACCGCCAGCUAAGGUCCCAAAGUCAUGGUUAAGUGGGAAACGAUGUGGGAAGGCCCAGACAGCCAGGAUGUUGGCUUAGAAGCAGCCAUCAUUUAAAGAAAGCGUAAUAGCUCACUGGUCGAGUCGGCCUGCGCGGAAGAUGUAACGGGGCUAAACCAUGCACCGAAGCUGCGGCAGCGACGCUUAUGCGUUGUUGGGUAGGGGAGCGUUCUGUAAGCCUGCGAAGGUGGCCUGUGAGGGUUGCUGGAGGUAUCAGAAGUGCGAAUGCUGACAUAAGUAACGAUAAAGCGGGUGAAAAGCCCGCUCGCCGGAAGACCAAGGGUUCCUGUCCAACGUUAAUCGGGGCAGGGUGAGUCGACCCCUAAGGCGAGGCCGAAAGGCGUAGUCGAUGGGAAACGGGUUAAUAUUCCCGUACUUGGUGUUACUGCGAAGGGGGGACGGAGAAGGCUAUGUUGGCCGGGCGACGGUUGUCCCGGUUUAAGCGUGUAGGUGUGUGUUCCAGGUAAAUCCGGUUCACUUUAACACUGAGGCGUGAUGACGAGGCACUACGGUGCUGAAGUAACAAAUGCCCUGCUUCCAGGAAAAGCCUCUAAGCAUCAGGUAACAUCAAAUCGUACCCCAAACCGACACAGGUGGUCAGGUAGAGAAUACCAAGGCGCUUGAGAGAACUCGGGUGAAGGAACUAGGCAAAAUGGUGCCGUAACUUCGGGAGAAGGCACGCUGACACGUAGGUGAAGUGAUUUACUCACGGAGCUGAAGUCAGUCGAAGAUACCAGCUGGCUGCAACUGUUUAUUAAAAACACAGCACUGUGCAAACACGAAAGUGGACGUAUACGGUGUGACGCCUGCCCGGUGCCGGAAGGUUAAUUGAUGGGGUCAGCGCAAGCGAAGCUCCUGAUCGAAGCCCCGGUAAACGGCGGCCGUAACUAUAACGGUCCUAAGGUAGCGAAAUUCCUUGUCGGGUAAGUUCCGACCUGCACGAAUGGCGUAAUGAUGGCCAGGCUGUCUCCACCCGAGACUCAGUGAAAUUGAACUCGCUGUGAAGAUGCAGUGUACCCGCGGCAAGACGGAAAGACCCCGUGAACCUUUACUAUAGCUUGACACUGAACAUUGAGCCUUGAUGUGUAGGAUAGGUGGGAGGCUUUGAAGUGUGGACGCCAGUCUGCAUGGAGCCGACCUUGAAAUACCACCCUUUAAUGUUUGAUGUUCUAACGUGGACCCGUUACCCGGGUUGCGGACAGUGUCUGGUGGGUAGUUUGACUGGGGCGGUCUCCUCCUAAAGAGUAACGGAGGAGCACGAAGGUUGGCUAAUCCUGGUCGGACAUCAGGAGGUUAGUGCAAUGGCAUAAGCCAGCUUGACUGCGAGCGUGACGGCGCGAGCAGGUGCGAAAGCAGGUCAUAGUGAUCCGGUGGUUCUGAAUGGAAGGGCCAUCGCUCAACGGAUAAAAGGUACUCCGGGGAUAACAGGCUGAUACCGCCCAAGAGUUCAUAUCGACGGCGGUGUUUGGCACCUCGAUGUCGGCUCAUCACAUCCUGGGGCUGAAGUAGGUCCCAAGGGUAUGGCUGUUCGCCAUUUAAAGUGGUACGCGAGCUGGGUUUAGAACGUCGUGAGACAGUUCGGUCCCUAUCUGCCGUGGGCGCUGGAGAACUGAGGGGGGCUGCUCCUAGUACGAGAGGACCGGAGUGGACGCAUCACUGGUGUUCGGGUUGUCAUGCCAAUGGCACUGCCCGGUAGCUAAAUGCGGAAGAGAUAAGUGCUGAAAGCAUCUAAGCACGAAACUUGCCCCGAGAUGAGUUCUCCCUGAGACUUAAAGUCUCCUGAAGGAACGUUGAAGACGACGACGUUGAUAGGCCGGGUGUGUAAGCGCAGCGAUGCGUUGAGCUAACCGGUACUAAUGAACCGUGAGGCUUAACCCUACAACGCCGAAG
rnacentral:rRNA from 2 species